rnacentral:rRNA from 1 species
GAUGAACGCUGGCGGCGUGCUUAACACAUGCAGGUCGAACGAAGCAUUUAGAACAGAUUACUUCGGUUUGAAGUUCUUUAUGACUGAGUGGCGGACGGGUGAGUAACGCGUGGGUAACCUGCCUUGUACUGGGGGAUAGCAGCUGGAAACGGCUGGUAAUACCGCAUAAGCGCACAAUGUUGCAUGACAUGGUGUGAAAAACUCCGGUGGUAUAAGAUGGACCCGCGUCUGAUUAGCUAGUUGGUGAGAUAACAGCCCACCAAGGCGACGAUCAGUAGCCGACCUGAGAGGGUGACCGGCCACAUUGGGGCUGAGACACGGCCCAGACUCCUACGGGAGGCAGCAGUGGGGAAUAUUGCACAAUGGAGGAAACUCUGAUGCAGCGACGCCGCGUGAGUGAAGAAGUAAUUCGUUAUGUAAAGCUCUAUCAGCAGGGAAGAUAGUGACGGUACCUGACUAAGAAGCUCCGGCUAAAUACGUG